GAGUUUGAUCGUGGCUCAGAUUGAACGCUGGCGGCAGGCCUAACACAUGCAAGUCGAGCGGUAGAGAGAAGCUUGCUUCUCUUGAGAGCGGCGGACGGGUGAGGUAAUGCCUAGGAAUCUGCCUGGUAGUGGGGGAUAACGCUCGGAAACGGACGCUAAUACCGCAAUACGUCCUACGGGAGAAAGCAGGGGACCUUCGGGCCUUGCGCUAUCAGAUGAGCCUAGGUCGGAUUAGCUAGUUGGUGAGGUAAUGGCUCACCAAGGCGACGAUCC
rnacentral:rRNA from 1 species